rnacentral:rRNA from 1 species
CAAAUCGGGUGAGACUACCCGCUGAACUUAAGCAUAUCAAUAAGCGGAGGAAAAGAAACUAACAAGGAUUCCCCUAGUAACUGCGAGUGAAGCGGGAAAAGCUCAAAUUUAAAAUCUGGUGGUCUUUGGCCAUCC